UGGGGAAUUUUGGAUCAAUGGGCGAAAGCCUGAUCCAGCAAUGCCGCGUGUGUGAAGAAGGCCUUCGGGUUGUAAAGCACUUUUGUCCGGAAAGAAAUCCUUGGCUCUAAUACAGUCGGGGGAGUGACGGUACCGGAAGAAUAAGCACCGGCUAACUACGUGCCAGCAGCCGCGGUAAUACGUAGGGUGCAAGCGUUAAUCGGAAUUACUGGGCGUAAAGCGUGCGCAGGCGGUUUGCUAAGACCGAUGUGAAAUCCCCGGGCUCAACCUGGACUGCAUUGGUGAUCUGGCAGGCUAGAGUAUGGCAGAGGGGGGUGAGAAUUCCACGUGUAGCAGUGAAAUGCGUAGAGAUGUGGAGGAAUACCGAUGGCGAAGGCAGCCCCUGG
rnacentral:rRNA from 1 species